UACAGAGGGGGCAAGCGUUGUUCGGAAUUACUGGGCGUAAAGGGCGCGUAGGCGGCCUGCUAAGUCGAACGUGAAAUCCCUGGGCUCAACCCAGGAACUGCGUCCGAUACUGGUUGGCUUGAAUACUGGAGAGGGUCGCGGAAUUCCCGGUGUAGAGGUGAAAUUCGUAGAUAUCGGGAGGAACACCCGUGGCGAAGGCGGCUCUCUGGGUCAAGAUUGACGCUCAUGCACGAAAGCGUGGGGAGCAAACAGG
rnacentral:rRNA from 1 species